rnacentral:rRNA from 1 species
UACGUAGGGGCCUAGCGUUGUCCGGAUUUAUUGGGCGUAAAGAGCUCGUAGGCGGUUCGGCAAGUCAGCUGUGAAAUCUCCACGCUUAACGUGGAGGGGUCAGUUGAUACUGCCGUGACUCGAGUCCGGUAGGGGAGUGUGGAAUUCCCGGUGUAGCGGUGAAAUGCGCAGAUAUCGGGAGGAACACCAGUAGCGAAGGCGGCACUCUGGGCCGGUACUGACGCUGAGGAGCGAAAGCGUGGGGAGCGAACAGG